ensembl:lncRNA
AUGUCUGUAUGUGGGAUGACGGGACCAGGGCUUGGUUUGUCUGUGUUCCUGUUGGCUCUGCUUCAUCUUCAAUGCUCAGCCCAGAACAACUACACUACGCUCCCAAAUAACAUAUCAGUGGCUGUUGGCAAGCCUGCUGCAUUCCAGUGUGGUGUGUCCCCUCCUAGACAACUCAACUUCACUCUCUAUGGUAGCCAUAGAAACAUAACCCUCAUCUGCCCAGGAGACCACACUGAGUACCUGGCUGCCCAGUCAAUAAAAGGGUACUGUGAUAACACAGGUAAGGAGCUCUUUGCAAUAUGGCUUAUCAGCGGGACGUCCCGCUCUGACAACAACACACGUGUAGUAUGUGAGAGCUCAGGACGACCACUAGUGGAUGGAUACCUCUGGGUGUACGAGGACGGCAGUUACUUUGCCACCCUCAUUGGCUGUGUCAUUGGUGGUUUCUUUGGUAUCCUCAUCAUCUUUGGUCUGUCAUACACUAUGCUCAGGAGAUCUGAGAGGCUCCAGCUCUGUUUCAGGGGAAAAGAUCGUGAGAAUGACGUCACCACAAUGGUGACAAAGGAUUAAACACACACCUUUCAAUACUGUUGGAUUCACUUAUUCAACUUCUUAAGAGAGCAGCCAUGACAGUACAGAAACUGAACUUCAAUGAUGCUGGGAUACUACUAAAGCAUUUGAUCAUGUACUAUAAUUGUGCGUCUCUGACUUUUCCUCUACUCUGGAAUACUGAAGUUAAUGUUCCAUUUUUAUACUGUGUUUUAUAGCUCCAUUAAUUGUUUUACAGUUAUGCUGGCAGCCAGCUAACACCUGUUUUCACUGCAUAAACAAUAGAGAGCAGGACAUCUGAGUAGCUGUCUAAAGUGUUCCAGUGGAGGAUCAGUAGAGGUGGUGCGAUGUUGACUCAGCUGGCCUGCUAUGCUCUGGUAUGACUCUGACACAGACACAACUCACAGCACUUCAAAUCCCACAAUAUGCAUUGGUCAUUUGUUUAGAAUUACAUACAUUCUUUGAGAUGUAUUUAUAUUUUUUAUGCAUGCUCCCCAUCUUCAGAGUGGCUUGUCAGAGGAUAUGGUCAAAUGCACAAAGACCCUUAGAUGGUUUGUUUAGUGACAAAUAUGCCUUCUAACAAGUAAGAGUAGUGUACGUUUUGAUGUUCCAGCACGAGCGUGCUUGUGUCAGUGCAUGCAGGCGUGCUUACAUACCACUCUUUUAUUUAAGUCUAAGCUAUGCACCGGAGUUGUGUCAGUGAUGAUGCAUUCAUAUAUUAUGUUCCAAAUGUAUUGGGGCAGUGAAACUUUUUGUUGUUUUGGCUCUGUACUCCAGCACUUUGGAUUUGAAAUGAUUCAAUGACUAUGAUGUUAAAGUGCUGACUGUCAGCUUUAAUUUGAGGUUAUUUUCAUCCAUAUCAGGUGAACCGUUUAGAAAUGACAGCACUUUUUGUACAUAGCCCCCCCCCCCCAUUUGGACAAAUGCACUUAUAUGUGUGUUAAAGUAGUAGAAAGUUUAGUAUUUGGUCCCAUAUUCAUAGCACACAAUGACUACAUCAAGCUUGUGAUUCUACAAAUUUGUUGAAUGCAUUUGUUGUUUGUUUUGGUUGUGUUUCAGAUUAUGUUGUGCCCAAUAUAAAUGAAUGGUAAAUCAUGUAUUGUGUCAUUUUGGAGUCACUUUAAUUGUAAAUAAGAAUAAAAUAUGUUUUUAAAAAUUUCUGCAUUAAUGUGGAUGCUACCAUGAUUACAGAUAAUCCUGAAUGAAUCGUGAAUAAUGAUGAAUGAGAAAGUUACAGACACAAUCCAUUACUUACCAUUCUUAUGUAUUGGGCACAAAAUAAUCUGAAACACAACCAAAACAAACAGCAAAUGCAUUCAACAAAUUUGUAGAGUCACAAGAUUGAUGUGGUCAUUGCGUGCUAUGAAUAUGGGACCAAAUACUUAACUUUUUACUACUUUAAUACACAUACAAGUAAAUAUGUCCUAAUACUUUUGGUGCCUUAAAAUGGGGGAACUAUGUACAAAAAGUGCUGUAAUUUCUAAAUGGUUCACCCGAUAUGGAUAAAAAUAUCCUCAAAUUAAAUAUGACAGUCUGCACUUCAACCUCACAGACAUGAUAUAAUUUCAAAUCCAAAGUGCUGGAGUACAGAGCCAAAACAACAAAAAUUGUGUCACUGUCUCAAUACUAUUUUAAAGAGUUGUUGCAAAGAAGAGAGCAGGGUUUUUGUGGAGGGAAUUUCUUAUGUUUGUGUUGUACCUGUGUGUCAGCUUUACCCUUUGGAUAGCCCAUCCUGACUGUCUCUUGUGUGAGCCUAUGACAACCCUUUCACUGUGGCCACUGGUUCUGUAGACUUUGUAGCUGAGUUAUGGGUAAAGUACCCAAUUGUCAUACUUGAGUAAAAGUAAAGAUACCUUAAUAUAAAAGGACUCAAGUAAAAGUGAGUCACCCAGUAAAAUCCUACUUGAGUAAAAGUCUAAAAGUAUUUGGUUUUAAAUAUACUUAAGUAUCAAAAGUCAAUUUAAUCUCUAAAAUGUACUUAAGUAUCAAAAGUAAAAGUAUAAAUAAUUUCAAAUUCCUUUUAUAAAGCAAACCAGACGGCACUCAUACUUUUAUUAUAUAUAUUUUUAACAGAUAGCCAGGAGCACCCUCUUACACUCAGACGUCAUUUACAAACAGAGCAUUUUUGUUUAGUCAGUCUGCCAGAUCAGAGGCAGCACAUAUGACCAGGGACGUUCUCUUGAUAAGUGCGUGACUUGGACCAUUUUCCUGUACUGCUAAGCAUUCAAAAUGUAAUGAGUACUUUUGAGCUACUGUAUUCUCUGUGCAUGCUUGGGUUGGGUGUUUAAGGGUAUAUUAGUAAGAUUUAUACAUACUUUGCAUAUGUAAUAUAUUUUUUUAUUAAUUUAGUACUUCUUUUUUUUACCCUUGUUCCUGUGAUAUCCAAUUGGUAGUUACCGUCUUGUCCCAUCGCUGCAACUCCUGUACGGACUCGAGUGUCAGGGAAAAUGUAUGUAGUAAAAACUACAUGAUUUUCUUUAGGAAUGUAGUGAAGUAAAAGUAUACAUUGUCAAAAAUAUACAUAAAUAGUAAAGUAAAGUACAGCUAUAAAAGAAAAAACUAUGUAGGUAGUACUUUAAAGUAUUUUACAUCACUGGGUAUGCAGGUAUGCAGUCUUCCAAUCAAUUAGUUUGCACUAUAUGGUCAGUUUUGAACAUUGUGGAAAAGUUGUGUUAUCAUCAGUAAUAAAUAUCUUUAAACUAUUCUGGUUGCAUGGAAUGCUGUUAUGCUUGAAAGUACAACAAUGGAACACACAUAUGUUGGCCCCAAUACACACACAGACUUGGACAGCACAGAAUGGACUUUAUCUCACAGUUUUAUCAGUCCUUCAUGGUGGUAAUCACCUCAGUCUCAUGUCAGGUCUUCAUAUGUCACUGAUGGUCCCUCUAACUAGGAUAUAGCCACUCACAUUAUUGUAUUAUCACACGUGAAGAACUGAAUACGUAUUCCUCCGCAGAUGCCGCGGGGAUAUAAAUAGUCUCAGAUAACAGCACGUCACCAUGCCGAUAAUGUGCAGAGGUUCAGUCAUGUGUCCCCUCUGAG